AUGGGUCAUGAUUUUUAUGCGGAGAUUCGCAAGAAAUGCCGACAAGACCCUGUUGCUGCCGUGUUUGCCGGGAUGCGUGUUUGCCACUACAAGGGGAAAGGAUAUGUAGUUUGCUCUUUAUCAGCUUCAAAGUACUACCUAGAUUUGGAAAUACCAGAGGGACAGCAAUUCCGCGUGAAUUGGCUUCAUCCGAAAAUCCCCAUAGUACACCUACAGUCUCAGCCAGAAAGCCCUGUUGAUCCAAUUCAGGAGUUACAAAGUAGCUGGAGAACAACCAAGCAGCUGCAAAGUCUCGAUCCAUUUCAGUUAUCGGACAAUAGCCGAUUUUUGUGCAGAGCCACCCUGAAAGAAAUAGACUGCACCAAAGAUUGGUGCUAUCGUGGAUGCUUCCACUGCAGGAAGAAGGUCAGCAGGGACGGAAGUGAAUUCUGGUGCAGCCAAUGCGAUCCGGUUAACAAGAAGCGUAAGAGGUCGGUUUUAUGGUACAAGCUAAAUGCAGUGGUGGAGGACGACACUGGAACCAUGAACUUGGUGAUCUUUGCCGAGGAGGCGCAGGAACUUAUCGGUAUCCCGGUAGAAGAACUUUUCGAAGAGAUCACCGAUGAUGGCAGGUGCACCGUGCCAGCUGCAUUCUCAUAUCUUCGCGGCUCGAGCCACACCUUUCAAGUUGCCAUGGACGACUGGAGCUCAAGCUUCGUUGUGAAGUGGAUCCUGAACGACGAUGAGUUGACACUAGUGCAGCACAGUGGGUCAGUUCAGUCGACCGUGUCUAGUUGUAGCUCACAACUUAUGGAGGAGAAGAUGUUGAUCCUCAAGCGAGAAACCGAACUGAAGACGAAAGAUGAGGCAGAUGCAGAAUGA
rnacentral:rRNA from 1 species